GCUCUUCAUCAGCUCAUUUAUGGAAGGUCAUCCAUUUAUUGAGACCAGCCCAAAAGACCCUCAGGAACUUAGAAGACUCCUGCCGACUUUGAAGACCAUAGCCCCAAAGCAGGGCUGUGAAAUGGAGCAGCAAAGAAGAGAAGCAUUGUCAAAGCUCAAGUUCCAUCAGAAUGACAAAGGAAGUCAGAAAAUACACAUACACAUAAAGAAGUCAAGACCACCCACCCGCCACCCUUUUUGAGACGGCUGCCAUUAAUAGCCAUCCACAUCCCCUUCUUUCUAUGUUUACACACUGAAGACAACAGAAAUGGGAGCAUUUUUUGUAUGCUGCUUUUUUUUUUUUUUUUUUUGAGAGGGAGUCUCUCUCUCUAGCCUAGGCUGGAGUGCAGUGGUGCGAUCUCGGCCUACUGCAACCUCCACCUCCCGGGUCCCGGUUCAAGCAGUUCUCCUGCCCCAGCCUCCCGAGUAGCUGGGAUUACAGGAAUGCACCACCAUGCCCAGCUAAUUUUUUUUUUUGAGACGAAGUUUUGCUCUUGUUGCCCAUGCUGGAGCACAAUGGCGCGAUCUCGACUCACUGCAACCUCUGCCUCCCGGGUUCAAGUGAUUCUCCUGCCUCAGCCUCCUGAGUAACUGGGAUUACAGGCACCCACCACCAUGGCCGGCUAAUUUUUGUAUAUUUAGUAGAGACGGGGUUUCACCAUGUUGACCAGCCUGGUCUUGAACUUCUGACUUCAGGUGAUCCACCUGCCUUGGUCUCCCAAAGUGCUGGGAUUACAGGCGUGAGCCACUGCGCCCGGCCAAUUUUUGUAUUUUUAAUAGAGACGGGGUUUCACCGUGUUGGCCAGGCUGAUUUUGAACUCCUGACCUCAUGAUCUGCCUGCCUCGGCCUCCCAAAAUGCUGGAAUUAUAGGCAUGAGCCACCGCGCCCGGCCUUGUAUGCUGCUCUUUAACCAGUUUUCACUUUUAUACCCAUACUUAAACUCUUCAAGAAAUCAUUUAAAAUUUCUUUUUAAAUUCAUCUACUGCUCCAUGCUAUUCUUGUGGGUGAAAAAGUAUAAUACUCAGCACAAUAAAUUAAUUCUCUUUGAAACUCAU
rnacentral:lncRNA from 1 species